GCGUCGGUAGUGCAACGGUUCAGCACGCGCUCCAGAAUAGAGAGAAGUGUGGGUUCGAAUCCCAGCUGUUGCA